rnacentral:rRNA from 1 species
AAAGUCCCGCAAGGGAUUAGUAGAGUGGCAAACGGGUGAGUAACACGUGGGUGACCUGCCUUCGAGUGGGGGAUAACGUCCCGAAAGGGACGCUAAUACCGCAUGACAUCCUGCCUUUGAAGAGGCGGAGAUCAAAGCUGGGGAUCGCAAGACCAAGCGCUCAAAGAGGGGCCCGCGCCUGAUUAGCUAGUUGGCGAGGUAACGGCUCACCAAGGCAUCGAUCAGUAUCCGGCCUGAGAGGGCGGACGGACACACUGGGACUGAGACACGGCCCAGACUCCUACGGGAGGCAGCAGUGGGGAAUUGUUCGCAAUGGGCGCAAGCCUGACGACGCAACGCCGCGUGGAGGAUGAAGACCUUCGGGUCGUAAACUCCUUUCGAUCGAGACGAAUGGCCUCCGGGUUAACAGCCCGGAGGAGUGACGGUACCGAGAGAAGAAGCCCCGGCUAACUCCGUGCCAGCAGCCGCGGUAAUACGGGGGGGGCAAGCGUUGUUCGGAAUUACUGGGCGUAAAGGGCUCGUAGGCGGCCAACUAAGUCAGACGUGAAAUCCCUCGGCUUAACCGGGGAACUGCAUCUGAUACUGGAUGGCUUGAGUUCGAGAGAGGGAUGUGGAAUUCCAGGUGUAGCGGUGAAAUGCGUAGAUAUCUGGAGGAACACCGGUGGCGAAGGCGGCAUCCUGGACCGACACUGACGCUGAGGAGCGAAAGCCAGGGGAGCAAACGGGAUUAGAUACCCCGGUAGUCCUGGCCCUAAACGAUGAAUGCUUGGUGUGGCGGGUAUCGAUCCCUGCCGUGCCGAAGCUAACGCA